UACGAAGGGGGCUAGCGUUGCUCGGAAUCACUGGGCGUAAAGCGCACGUAGGUGGAUUGUUAAGUCAGGGGUGAAAUCCUGGAGCUCAACUCCAGAACUGCCUUUGAUACUGAGGAUCUUGAGUUCGGGAGAGGUGAGUGGAACUGCGAGUGUAGAGGUGAAAUUCGUAGAUAUUCGCAAGAACACCAGUGGCGAAGGCGGCUCACUGGCCCGAUACUGACGCUGAGGCACGAAAGCGUGGGGAGCAAACAGG
rnacentral:rRNA from 1 species